AUUUAAAUAGUUUAUAUAAAAUUUUAAUUUGUGGGAUUAAGGAAAAAUAUUUAAUAUUUUUUAAAUA
rnacentral:tRNA from 1 species